UGGGGAAUAUUGGGCAAUGGGCGCAAGCCUGACCCAGCAACGCCGCGUGAAGGAAGAAGGCUUUCGGGUUGUAAACUCUUUUCUCAGGGACGAAGAAAGUGACGGUACCUGAGGAAUAAGCCACGGCUAACUACGUGCC
rnacentral:rRNA from 1 species